rnacentral:rRNA from 1 species
CUAACACAUGCAAGUCGAACGAGACCUUCGGGUCUAGUGGCGCACGGGUGCGUAACGCGUGGGAAUCUGCCCUUAGGUUCGGAAUAACUCAGGGAAACUUGAGCUAAUACCGGAUGAUGUCUUCGGACCAAAGAUUUAUCGCCUAGGGAUGAGCCCGCGUAGGAUUAGCUUGUUGGUGAGGUAAAGGCUCACCAAGGCGACGAUCCUUAGCUGGUCUGAGAGGAUGAUCAGCCACACUGGGACUGAGACACGGCCCAGACUCCUACGGGAGGCAGCAGUGGGGAAUAUUGGACAAUGGGCGAAAGCCUGAUCCAGCAAUGCCGCGUGAGUGAUGAAGGCCCUAGGGUUGUAAAGCUCUUUUACCCGGGAUGAUAAUGACAGUACCGGGAGAAUAAGCCCCGGCUAACUCCGUGCCAGCAGCCGCGGUAAUACGGAGGGGGCUAGCGUUGUUCGGAAUUACUGGGCGUAAAGCGUACGUAGGCGGUGAUUCAAGUCAGAGGUGAAGGCCCGGAGCUCAACUCCGGAACUGCCUUUGAAACUAGAUCGCUUGAACGUCGGAGAGGUGAGUGGAAUUCCGAGUGUAGAGGUGAAAUUCGUAGAUAUUCGGAAGAACACCAGUGGCGAAGGCGGCUCACUGGACGACUGUUGACGCUG